ACACCAUUACAUAGUACUCUAGCGUCAACAUAAAAAAUGAAGCUGUUUAACUUUGUGCUCAUUGGUCAGACUGGUUACAGGUAAGUUUUACAUGUUCUACCUGUGCUUGUCUUUAUUCUUCAUGGUCUAUGUUUGCUGUCUGCUGCCCAGGUAUGCUAUAUGUUUGUCUGUUCUAUUUUCACAGCUCCAAUGUUGACACACUGUCAGCUUUGUCUGACACCCUCAUUUCUUUCGGCACAAGCCCAAGCAGCUUGAUGGAGGAUGAGCCAGUGCUGGAAAAGGAAGAAGGAGGCUCAGUGAACAUUGACACAGGGAAUGGUGUUGAACAGGAGCCAACUCCAAAGCUCAGCAACUGUGAACCAAUAACAGACGAUCUCCUGUUCCUCAAUAAUGGCCCAGAGCAGUCAGCAGAGCCUGUUCCCCCCAGCCCAGGACGCUGGAGUCAGGAUCUGCUUAGUGGGCUAGAUAGUGGGACAGACCCAGCCAAGACCAGUGGCACUGUGGGUCUCCUGGUCAAUGACAUUGACACUGAUGACGUUAUAAUUACCACACAGACACGCAGCCUCAGCAUGGAGCGAGAGGAGGAGAAGCAGACAGAUGAGACAGCCAAAGAAACACAAAGCCUCACAGAGACAGCCACUAUCACCACCAAAACUGUGAUCAUUACUGACAAAAGUGAAGAGGAAAAUGCAGCUCCUCAGAGUUCACGUGUCAUUACCACAGUCACUGAAUCAAGCUCGGCUGAUCCGUUUGAUCCAUAUCCGAUAGGGACCACAUCCCCUAACAGCUCCUCUGACCUGCUCCAGCCUCUCUCAGAUAUUCCCAUCAACAGUGCUUCACUUAUUUCCAUAAAGAACGAAGAUCCAAGUCCAGAAAUAAACAUGAGCAGUAAAACAUUGGAGUCCCUUGCAGAUGACAUCAUUCCCAUCGAUACUGACACCAGAAGUCUCAGCAGUCACCGGUCAUGGGCACGCACAUGGGAAGUGAACCCACCUCAGCAGACAAACACAGACGAGAGCCGAGAAGCUGAACCAGAGGGCCAAGCUGAAGAUCAACAGACGGUGGUCAUGUUUGAGAGAAAGUCCAAAGAAAAUGAUUCCCCAUGGGACAGGUGGACGUCGCCCACUGUCUACACCAUCAAUACAGAAGAGGAGGAGGAAGAGAAAGAAGAAGAAAGGUAUCUCGACAAUAGCUGAGCUCAUUAAAUGCUUAUUAAAACACUCUUUUUCUACACUUUAGCAGAAUAUGAUAACAGCUCCUUAAAAUUCAGCUGCU
rnacentral:lncRNA from 1 species